UACGUAGGUGGCAAGCGUUGUCCGGAUUUACUGGGCGUAAAGAGCGCGUAGGCGGGAUGGCAAGUCGGUCGUGAAAUCCCUCGGCUCAACUGAGGAUCGUCGAUCGAUACUGCCGUUCUUGAGGAUUGCAGAGGAGACUGGAAUUCCCGGUGUAGCGGUGAAAUGCGUAGAUAUCUGGAGGAACACCGGUGGCGAAGGCGGCAUCCUGGACCGACACUGACGCUGAGGAGCGAAAGCUAGGGGAGCAAACGGG
rnacentral:rRNA from 1 species